rnacentral:rRNA from 1 species
UACGGGGGGAGCAAGCGUUGUUCGGAUUUACUGGGCGUAAAGGGCGCGUAGGCGGUCAGCACAAGUCAGUUGUGAAAUCUCCGGGCUUAACUCGGAAAGGUCAACUGAUACUGUGCGACUAGAGUGCAGAAGGGCAACUGGAAUUCGUCGGUGUAGCGGUGAAAUGCGUAGAUAUCAGGAGGAACACCGAUGGCGAAGGCAGGUCUCUGGGCUGACACUGACGCUCAUGCACGAAAGCGUGGGGAGCAACAGG